rnacentral:rRNA from 1 species
UACGGGGGGAGCAAGCGUUGUUCGGAUUUACUGGGCGUAAAGGGCGCGUAGGCGGCCACCGCAAGUCGACUGUGAAAUCUCCGGGCUUAACCCGGAAAGGUCAGCCGAUACUGCGGGGCUAGAGUGCAGAAGGGGCAACUGGAAUUCUCGGUGUAGCGGUGAAAUGCGUAGAUAUCAAGAGGAACACCUGCGGCGAAGGCGGGUUGCUGGGCCGACACUGACGCUGAGGCGCGAAAGCUAGGGGAGCGAACGGG